AACCCCAACAACAGAACGGUGUGGAGGUAACCCUAACAACAGAACGGUGUGGAGGUAACCCUAACAACAGAACGGUGUGGAGGUAACCCCAACAACAGAACGGUGUGGAGGUAACCCUAACAACAGAACGGUGUGGAGGUAACCCCAACAACAGAACGGUGUGGAGGUAACCCUAACAACAGAACGGUGUGGAGGUAACCCCAACAACAGAACGGUGUGGAGGUAACC